GGGCGUGUGGCGCAAUUGGUAGCGCGUUCGCUUUGCAACAAGCAUUAUAUCAUGCGAAAGGUCUUGGGUUCGAUUCCCAACUCGUCCA